GAUGAAGAACGUAGCGAAAUGCGAUAAGUAGUGUGAAUUGCAGAAUUCAGUGAAUCAUCGAAUCUUUGAACGCACAUUGCGCCCCUUGGUAUUCCAUGGGGCAUGCCUGUUCGAGCGUCAUUUGUACCUUCAAGCUUUGCUUGGUGUUGGGUGUUUGUCCUGAGGGACUCGCCUUAAAGUAAUUGGCAGCCAGUGUUUGGUUUUGAAGCGCAGCACAAGUCGCGAUUCAAGGCUAUACACCAACUUCCACAAGCCUUUUUCACUUUUGACCUCGGAUCAGGUAGGGAUACCCGCUGAACUUAAGCAUAUCAAUAAGCGGAGGA
rnacentral:misc_RNA from 1 species